CCAGAAGUUCCAGCUCUAACUGUAACUGCAGCGUUGUAAGUGAGCAAUUUCUCGCUGUUAAAGAGGAUAUCGGGAAGUUAAAAUCAUUUGUCUGUAAAAAGUUGGAUCAAAUGGAACAAACUCAACUUGCCCAUAAUAAAGCUGUAAUGACUGCUCUGGCGGAACAGAAAAUCGUCACGC